UACGUAGGUGGCAAGCGUUGUCCGGAAUUAUUGGGCGUAAAGCGCGCGCAGGCGGUCCUUUAAGUCUGAUGUGAAAGCCCACGGCUUAACCGUGGAGGGUCAUUGGAAACUGGGGGACUUGAGUGCAGAAGAGGAAAGUGGAAUUCCACGUGUAGCGGUGAAAUGCGUAGAGAUGUGGAGGAACACCAGUGGCGAAGGCGACUUUCUGGUCUGUAACUGACGCUGAGGCGCGAAAGCGUGGGGAGCAAACAGG
rnacentral:rRNA from 1 species